ACAACAACUGUGCGCUUGUUAUUCUCUUUUAGUUAUUACGAAGCACCACUUUCACCAAGUGCGUAUCGAAAUUACUUAUCUUAUCGAAGCAAUCACUUGGAUCCUAGUGUACCACCAUCACC